rnacentral:rRNA from 1 species
AACGAACGCUGGCGGCAGGCUUAACACAUGCAAGUCGAGCGCCCCGCAAGGGGAGCGGCAGACGGGUGAGUAACGCGUGGGAAUCUACCGAGCCCUACGGAAUAACGCAUGGAAACGUGUGCUAAUACCGUAUACGCCCUACGGGGGAAAGAUUUAUCGGGGUUUGAUGAGCCCGCGUUGGAUUAGCUAGUUGGUGGGGUAAAGGCCUACCAAGGCGACGAUCCAUAGCUGGCCUGAGAGGAUGAUCAGCCACAUUGGGACUGAGACACGGCCCAAACUCCUACGGGAGGCAGCAGUGGGGAAUAUUGGACAAUGGGCGCAAGCCUGAUCCAGCCAUGCCGCGUGAGUGAUGAAGGUCUUAGGAUUGUAAAGCUCUUUCACCGACGAAGAUAAUGACGGUAGUCGGAGAAGAAGCCCCGGCUAACUUCGUGCCAGCAGCCGCCGCCGUAA